AACUUUGGGAAGGAACUAAGCAAGAGAGGACUGAGAUAGACUACAUGAGACAGAGGAUUCAGCAACAGCAAGAUGAGAUAGUCAGGAUGACCACUGAGAAAAGACAACUUGAGAGAACUAUUACUCACAUGAAAGCUGAGAUGGACCACAUCCGCGAAAGAAUGGAUCGUAAUAAAGAAGAGGUAAAUAGAGAGAGGGAGAGGAUUGAGCAAAUGAGAUCUGAUCUCCAAACUGAGCAAACCACCCUGGAGCAAAAGCAUGAUGAAAUCAUGAGAGAGAGACAGAACUUGGAGAUGAUCAGAUAUGAGACUCUGAGACAGAAGGAGGAGCUGGAGAGCAACCGUGAAAGCACAAAGUACGAGAUGGAACGAAUGGAACAAAUGAAAAGUGCCAUACAAGUUCAGAUCAACGAGAUAGAGAUGAAGAUCGGGGAAACACAGAAAGCAAAGUGUCAGAUGGAGCAGAUGAAAGCUGAAAUAGAGGAGGAGAAAAGCGACCUGGAGAGAAAGAAGUAUGACAUCAAGAGGCAAAGAGACCAAUUUGAGCAGAUUAAAGUUGACAUACAGCAAGUGAAGAUGGAAAUGGAGCAAAGAUGGCAUGAAACAGAGAAAGAAGGGCUGGAACAGAGAGCUAUAAUCCAAAGAGAGAAAGAUGAGCUGAAAUACCUGCAAGACGAGAUUCAAAGAACAAGAGAAGAGGUUGAAAGAAACAGAGAUUUUUCAAAACAAGAGAUUGAGAGAAUAAACCAGCUGAGAGCUCAAGCGCUUACAGAAAACAACCUCAUUGAAAAGAAAUGGCAAGAUAUUUUAAGAAAAGAAAAGGAUCUGGAAGAGAUGAAAUAUGAAAUUGAGAGAGGUCGAGAGGAGUUGGUGAUGAAUAGAGAGUUGGUCAAAAAGGAAUGGGAAAAGAUCGGACAGGCCAAAGUGGACAUACAAAAUCACAUGAUAUCUAUGGAUGCCAGAGUUGAGGAAAUAAAAAGAGAAACUGAUAGGGUGAAACAUAUGAAAAUAGAGAUGCAGAAGGACAAAGAUAUUCUAGAAAAACAGAAGGAUGAUAUACGAAAAGCUAAAGAAGAAAUGGAGAAGAAGAGGUAUGAGAUAGUGACAGAGGAGCUAGAGCACAGAGCUCGACUGCAGAGGGAGAGAGACGAGGUGGAGAGUUUAAGAGUAGAGAUACAAAGGGCUAACGAUACGGAGAAAGCAAAGAUACUGAAGGAGAAGGAAGAAAGUUUUAAGAUAAGAGAAGAAGCCAGACAAGAAAGAGAAAUGACAGAACUAAUCAAAGCAGAGAUCAAGGCUGAAAAAGACAGCUUGAACCGAAGACAAGAGGAGAUGAUGAGGGAGAGACAAGAGUUAGAAAGAAUUAAACAUGAGAUAGGCAGAGCCAAAGAGGAUAUUGAGAACAGCCAAGAAGUCACAAUCC
ensembl:lncRNA